rnacentral:rRNA from 1 species
UGCCUUUAUCAGGGGGAUAGCCUUUCGAAAGGAAGAUUAAUACCCCAUAAUAUAUCGAGUGGCAUCACUUGAUAUUGAAAACUCCGGUGGAUAGAGAUGGGCACGCGCAAGAUUAGAUAGUUGGUGAGGUAACGGCUCACCAAGUCUACGAUCUUUAGGGGGCCUGAGAGGGUGAUCCCCCACACUGGUACUGAGACACGGACCAGACUCCUACGGGAGGCAGCAGUGAGGAAUAUUGGACAAUGGGUGAGAGCCUGAUCCAGCCAUCCCGCGUGAAGGACGACGGCCCUAUGGGUUGUAAACUUCUUUUGUAUAGGGAUAAACCUAGAUACGUGUAUCUAGCUGAAGGUACUAUACGAAUAAGCACCGGCUAACUCCGUGCCAGCAGCCGCGGUAAUACGGAGGGUGCAAGCGUUAUCCGGAUUUAUUGGGUUUAAAGGGUCCGUAGGCGGAUUUGUAAGUCAGUGGUGAAAUCUCACAGCUUAACUGUGAAACUGCCAUUGAUACUGCAAGUCUUGAGUGUUGUUGAAGUAGCUGGAAUAAGUAGUGUAGCGGUGAAAUGCAUAGAUAUUACUUAGAACACCAAUUGCGAAGGCAGGUUACUAAGCAACAACUGACGCUGAUGGACGAAAGCGUGGGGAGCGAACAGGAUUAGAUACCCUGGUAGUCCACGCCGUAAACGAUGCUAACUCGUUUUUGGGCUUUCGGGUUCAGAGACUAAGCGAAAGUGAUAAGUUAGCCACCUGGGGAGUACGAACGCAAGUUUGAAACUCAAAGGAAUUGACGGGGGCCCGCACAAGCGGUGGAUUAUGUGGUUUAAUUCGAUGAUACGCGAGGAACCUUACCAAGGCUUAAAUGGGAAAUGACAGGUUUAGAAAUAGACUUUUCUUCGGACAUUUUUCAAGGUGCUGCAUGGUUGUCGUCAGCUCGUGCCGUGAGGUGUUAGGUUAAGUCCUGCAACGAGCGCAACCCCUGUCACUAGUUGCCAUCAUUAAGUUGGGGACUCUAGUGAGACUGCCUACGCAAGUAGAGAGGAAGGUGGGGAUGACGUCAAAUCAUCACGGCCCUUACGCCUUGGGCCACACACGUAAUACAAUGGCCGGUACAGAGGGCAGCUACACAGCGAUGUGAUGCAAAUCUCGAAAGCCGGUCUCAGUUCGGAUUGGAGUCUGCAACUCGACUCUAUGAAGCUGGAAUCGCUAGUAAUCGCGCAUCAGCCAUGGCGCGGUGAAUACGUUCCCGGGCCUUGUACACACCGCCCGUCAAGCCAUGGAAGUCUGGG